rnacentral:rRNA from 1 species
AUUGAACGCUGGCGGCAGGCCUAACACAUGCAAGUCGAGCGGAUGAAGGGAGCUUGCUCCUGGAUUCAGCGGCGGACGGGUGAGUAAUGCCUAGGAAUCUGCCUGGUAGUGGGGGAUAACGUCCGGAAACGGGCGCUAAUACCGCAUACGUCCUGAGGGAGAAAGUGGGGGAUCUUCGGACCUCACGCUAUCAGAUGAGCCUAGGUCGGAUUAGCUAGUUGGUGGGGUAAAGGCCUACCAAGGCGACGAUCCGUAACUGGUCUGAGAGGAUGAUCAGUCACACUGGAACUGAGACACGGUCCAGACCCCUACGGGAGGCAGCGGUGGGGAAUAUUGGACAAUGGGCGAAAGCCUGAUCCAGCCAUGCCGCGUGUGUGAAGAAGGUCUUCGGAUUGUAAAGCACUUUAAGUUGGGAGGAAGGGCAGUAAGUUAAUACCUUGCUGUUUUGACGUUACCAACAGAAUAAGCACCGGCUAACUUCGUG